rnacentral:rRNA from 2 species
GAAGAUCAGCGGCGGACGGGUGAGUAACACGUGGGCAACCUGCCUGUAAGACUGGGAUAACUUCGGGAAACCGGAGCUAAUACCGGAUAAUCCUUUCCCUCUCAUGAGGGAAAGCUGAAAGACGGUUUCGGCUGUCACUUACAGAUGGGCCCGCGGCGCAUUAGCUAGUUGGUGAGGUAACGGCUCACCAAGGCAACGAUGCGUAGCCGACCUGAGAGGGUGAUCGGCCACACUGGGACUGAGACACGGCCCAGACUCCUACGGGAGGCAGCAGUAGGGAAUCUUCCGCAAUGGACGAAAGUCUGACGGAGCAACGCCGCGUGAGCGAUGAAGGCCUUCGGGUCGUAAAGCUCUGUUGUCAGGGAAGAACAAGUACCGGAGUAACUGCCGGUACCUUGACGGUACCUGACCAGAAAGCCACGGCUAACUACGUGCCAGCAGCCGCGGUAAUACGUAGGUGGCAAGCGUUGUCCGGAAUUAUUGGGCGUAAAGCGCGCGCAGGCGGUUCCUUAAGUCUGAUGUGAAAGCCCCCGGCUCAACCGGGGAGGGUCAUUGGAAACUGGGGAACUUGAGUGCAGAAGAGGAGAGCGGAAUUCCACGUGUAGCGGUGAAAUGCGUAGAGAUGUGGAGGAACACCAGUGGCGAAGGCGGCUCUCUGGUCUGUAACUGACGCUGAGGCGCGAAAGCGUGGGGAGCGAACAGGAUUAGAUACCCUGGUAGUCCACGCCGUAAACGAUGAGUGCUAAGUGUUAGAGGGUUUCCGCCCUUUAGUGCUGCAGCAAACGCAUUAAGCACUCCGCCUGGGGAGUACGGCCGCAAGGCUGAAACUCAAAGGAAUUGACGGGGGCCCGCACAAGCGGUGGAGCAUGUGGUUUAAUUCGAAGCAACGCGAAGAACCUUACCAGGUCUUGACAUCCUCUGACAACCCUAGAGAUAGG